GACGAACGCUGGCGGCGUGCUUAACACUUGCAAGUCGAACGGAAAGGCCCUGCUUUUGUGGGGUGCUCGAGUGGCGAACGGGUGAGUAACACGUGAGUAACCUGCCCUUGACUUUGGGAUAACUUCAGGAAACUGGGGCUAAUACCGGAUAGGAGCUCCUGCUGCAUGGUGGGGGUUGGAAAGUUUCGGCGGUUGGGGAUGGACUCGCGGCUUAUCAGCUUGUUGGUGGGGUAGUGGCUUACCAAGGCUUUGACGGGUAGCCGGCCUGAGAGGGUGACCGGCCACAUUGGGACUGAGAUACGGCCCAGACUCCUACGGGAGGCAGCAGUGGGGAAUAUUGCACAAUGGGCGGAAGCCUGAUGCAGCAACGCCGCGUGCGGGAUGACGGCCUUCGGGUUGUACACCGCUUUCGCCUGUGACGAAGCGUGAGUGACGGUAAUGGGUAAAGAAGCACCGGCUAACUACGUG
rnacentral:rRNA from 1 species